GGGCCGUUAGCUCAGUCGGUAGAGCAACUGGCUUUUAACCAGUGGGUCGCAGGUUCAAAUCCUGCACGGCUCACCA
rnacentral:tRNA from 1 species